rnacentral:rRNA from 1 species
AUUGAACGCUGGCGGCAUGCCUUACACAUGCAAGUCGAACGGCAGCACGGGAGCAAUCCUGGUGGCGAGUGGCGAACGGGUGAGUAAUAUAUCGGAACGUGCCCAGUCGUGGGGGAUAACGCAGCGAAAGCUGUGCUAAUACCGCAUACGAUCUAAGGAUGAAAGCGGGGGAUCGCAAGACCUCGCGCGAUUGGAGCGGCCGAUAUCAGAUUAGCUAGUUGGUGGGGUAAAGGCCCACAAAGGCGACGAUCUGUAGCUGGUCUGAGAGGACGACCAGCCAGACUGGAACUGAGACACGGUCCAGACUCCUACGGGAGGCAGCAGUGGGGAAUUUUGGACAAUGGGCGCAAGCCUGAUCCAGCAAUGCCGCGUGCAGGAUGAAGGCCUUCGGGUUGUAAACUGCUUUUGUACGGAACGAAACGGCCCUUUCUAAUACAGGGGGCUAAUGACGGUACCGUAAGAAUAAGCACCGGCUAACUACGUGCCAGCAGCCGCCGUAACAC